rnacentral:rRNA from 1 species
UACAGGGGGUGCAAACGUUGCUCGGAAUCAUUGGGCGUAAAGCGCACGUAGGCGGUCUGUUAUGUCGGAUGUGAAAGCCCUUGGCUCAACUGAGGAAGUGCAUCCGAAACUGGCAGGCUAGAGUACUAAAGAGGAUCGCGGAAUUCCCGGUGUAGAGGUGAAAUUCGUAGAUAUCGGGAGGAACACCGGUGGCGAAGGCGGCGAUCUGGGUAGAUACUGACGCUGAGGUGCGAAAACGUGGGGAGCAAACAGG